GACGAACGCUGGCGGCGUGCUUAACACAUGCAAGUCGAACGGAAAGGCCCUGCUUUUGUGGGGUGCUCGAGUGGCGAACGGGUGAGUAACACGUGAGUAACCUGCCCUUGACUUUGGGAUAACUUCAGGAAACUGGGGCUAAUACCGGAUAGGAGCUCCUGCUGCAUGGUGGGGGUUGGAAAGUUUCGGCGGUUGGGGAUGGACUCGCGGCUUAUCAGCUUGUUGGUGGGGUAGUGGCUUACCAAGGCUUUGACGGGUAGCCGGCCUGAGAGGGUGACCGGCCAAAUUGGGACUGAGAGACGGCCCAGACCCCUACGGGAGGGAGCGGGGGGGAAUAUUGCACAAUGGGCGGAAGCCUGAUGCAGCAACGCCGGGGGCGGGAUGGCGGCCUUCGGGUUGUAAACCGCUUUCCCCUGGGACGAAGGGUGAGUGGCGGUAAUGGGUAAAGAAGCACCGGCUAACUACGU
rnacentral:rRNA from 1 species